GCCAGGUGUGGUGGUGCAUGCCUGAAAUCCCAGUGACUCUGUAGGCUGAGGCAGGAGGAUUGCAAGUUCAAAAACAGCCUCAGCGAAUUAGCAAGAACCUAAGCAAUUUAGUGAGACCCUGUCUCAA
rnacentral:sRNA from 1 species